AUUGAACGCUGGCGGCAUGCCUUACACAUGCAAGUCAAACGGUAACAGGUCUUCGGGUGCUGACGAGUGGCGAACGGGUGAGUAAUACAUCGGAACGUGCCCGAUCGUGGGGGAUAACGAAGCGAAAGCUUUGCUAAUACCGCAUAAGAUCUACGGAUGAAAGCAGGGGACCGCAAGGCCUUGCGCGAACGGAGCGGCCGAUGGCAGAUUAGGUAGUUGGUGGGAUAAAAGCUUACCAAGCCGACGAUCUGUAGCUGGUCUGAGAGGACGACCAGCCACACUGGGACUGAGACACGGCCCAGACUCCUACGGGAGGCAGCAGCGGGGAAUUUUGGACAAUGGGCGAAAGCCUGAUCCAGCCAUGCCGCGUGCAGGAUGAAGGCCUUCGGGUUGUAAACUGCUUUUGUACGGAACGAAAAGACUCUUUCUAAUAAAGAGGGUCCAUGACGGUACCGUAAGAAUAAGCACCGGCUAACUACGUGCCAGCCGCCGCCGUAACAC
rnacentral:rRNA from 1 species